rnacentral:rRNA from 1 species
CAGGCAUCACACAUGCUAGUCGAACGCAUCUUUGGGGAUGAGUGGCAGACGGGUGAGUAACACGUGGGAAUGUGCCCUUCGGUUCGGAAUAACUGAGGGAAACUUGAGCUAAUACCGGAUACGCCCUUUUGGGCAAAGAUUUAUUGCCGAAGGAUGGGCCCGCGUCUGAUUAGCUAGUUGGUGAGGUAAUGGCUCACCAAGGCGACGAUCAGUAGCUGGUCUGAGAGGAUGAUCAGCCACACUGGGACUGAGACACGGCCCAGACUCCUACGGGAGGCAGCAGUGGGGAAUAUUGGACAAUGGGCGCAAGCCUGAUCCAGCCAUGCCGCGUGAGUGAUGAAGGCCUUAGGGUUGUAAAGCUCUUUUACCCGGGAAGAUAAUGACUGUACCGGGAGAAUAAGCCCCGGCUAACUUCGUGCCAGCAGCCGCGGUAAU